AUUGAACGCUGGCGGCAGGCCUAACACAUGCAAGUCGAGCGGAGCGGCGGACGGGUGAGUAAUGCCUAGGUAUCGGCCUGGUCGUGGGAGAUGACGUCCGGCAACGGGCGCUAAUACCGCAUACUAUCAGAUGAGCCUAGGGCGGAUUGGCUAGUGGGUGGGGUAAAGGCCUACCAAGGCGACGAUCCGUAACUGGUCUGAGUGGAUGAUCAGUCACACUGGAACUGAGACACGGCCCAGACUCCUACGGGAGGCAGCAGUGGGGAAUAUUGGACAAUGGGCGAAAGCCUGAUCCAGCCAUGCCGCGUGUGUGAAGAAGGUCUUCGGAUUGUAAAGUACUUUCAGUUGGGAGGCGUUACCAACAGAAUAAGCACCGGCUAACUUCGUGCCAGCAGCCGCGGUAAUUC
rnacentral:rRNA from 1 species